GGUUGUGGAGCUCAGUGGUUAAGAGCACUGGCUGCUAUUGCAGAGGACCUGGGUUCAGUUCCCAGCACUUACA
rnacentral:tRNA from 1 species